CGCGGCCCGGCCCUGCUUGUCAGGCCUGAGAACUGGGAGGAGGCUGGAGAAAAGAUGCCCUCUGAAUCUUUCUGUUUGGCUGCCCAGGCUCGCCUUGACUCCAAAUGGUUGAAAACAGAUACACAGAUGCAGUCUCACCUUGUCGCCUAGGCUGGAGUAUAGUGGUG